rnacentral:lncRNA from 1 species
GAUGGAUCCAGCCUUAUCAGUGAGGUUUUUUGUUUGUUUGUUUGUUUGUUUGAUUGUUUUGUUUGUUUGUUUUUGUUUUUGUUGUUUUUUUAAGCUCUCCUCACAAACAUUCUUCAGUGUUACUUCUGGAAUUCUUCAAGGUUCUCUAGGAACUUAUAAAUCCUAAAAGCAUGGAUAAUCUACAGAAAGAACAUGACUACCACUUCAUAAAUAGGUCUGGAUGAGGUCACAGAAUGUGAGUUUCUAAGAAGUUUCAAGCUGACAGAUAAGCACUGCAAGUCUGGAGUCAAGAUUGUGAGGACCACUGCCCUUCUUAUGGACUGACUUCCUUCAGCCUGUAAACUAACUGAGUUGCCAGGCACCCUGUAAACAUUGUACUCCAUCACUUACCCUGUUACUGUUGGACCUGUGUGUUUAUUGACCCUGAAUGUUAAGAGUGCCAGAUGGGGAGAGGAAAUCUCAACUAUAUGCAUAUUGGCACCAAGGAAAUCUCUUCUAUAGCAAUGGCGGAAGGAACACUGAGUGGAGUUCUUGGAAAGACUGAAGUUUGGGCACUGAGAAAGCACUACACAUGAGAUGCAAAUAAAUUUGGUUAAGUUUCCUUUUACCUGCAUAUACAUGCAUACUGAUAUGAAUAUAGAACAGAAGGUGACCAGAUAAGGAGAGAUCUGAAGUCAGUGGUCUGAGACUCUCCUUGCUGGAGACAAGGAUGAGAGAAGAGAGAGGCACCUGCUUUGUUAUCUCCAAAGGGAGUGUACUUGCCUAGCUAUUGUUUGUGUUGCCAUGACAGCUGCUCAAA